rnacentral:rRNA from 1 species
UCCGGGGGGGGCAAGCGUUGUUCGGAAUUACUGGGCGUAAAGGGCUCGUAGGCGGCCAACUAAGUCAGACGUGAAAUCCCCAGGCUUAACCUGGGAACUGCGUCUGAUACUGGAUGGCUUGAAUUCGGGAGAGGGAUGCAGAAUUCCAGGUGUAGCGGUGAAAUGCGUAGAUAUCGGAAGGAACACCUGUGGCGAAAGCGGCUCACUGGACCAUUACUGACGCUGAUGCACGAAAGCUAGGGGAGCAAACAGG